AGAGCAUCGGGUGGAUGCCUUGGCGUCGGAAGGCGAUGAAAGACGUGGUAAGCUGCGAUAAGCCGCGGGGAGGAGCUAAACAUCCUUUGAUCCGUGGAUCUCUGAAUGGGGAAACCCGGCGGGAGUCAUAUCCCGUCACCUGCAACUGAAUACAUAGGUUGCAAGGAGCGAACUCGGGGAAGUGAAACAUCUCAGUACCCGAAGGAAAGGAAAUCAAA
rnacentral:rRNA from 1 species